UUGAACGCUGGCGGAAUGCUUUACACAUGCAAGUCGAGCGGCAGCGCGGGGGCAACCCUGGCGGCGAGCGGCGAACGGGUGAGUAAUACAUCGGAACGUACCCAGUUGUGGGGGAUAGCCCGGCGAAAGCCGGAUUAAUACCGCAUAAGUCCUGAGGGAGAAAGCGGGGGACCGUAAGGCCUCGCGUUAUUGGAGUGGCCUAGGCCUGAUUAGCUAGUUGGUGAGGUAAAGGCUCACCAAGGCGACGAUCAGUAGCUGGUCUGAGAGGAUGAUCAGCCACACUGGAACUGAGACACGGUCCAGACUCCUACGGGAGGCAGCAGUGGGGAAUUUUGGACAAUGGGGGAAACCCUGAUCCAGCCAUUCCGCGUGAGUGAAGAAGGCCUUCGGGUUGUAAAGCUCUUUCAGGAGGGAAGAAACGGUUGCGGCUAAUACCCGCGACUAAUGACGGUACCUUCAGAAGAAGCACCGGCUAACUACGU
rnacentral:rRNA from 1 species